ACGGGUGAGUAACGCGUGGGAAUCUACCCAUCUCUAUGGAACAACUCUGGGAAACUGGAGCUAAUACCGUAUACGUCCUUCGGGAGAAAGAUUUAUCGGAGAUGGAUGAGCCCGCGUUGGAUUAGCUAGUUGGUGGGGUAAUGGCCUACCAAGGCGACGAUCCAUAGCUGGUCUGAGAGGAUGAUCAGCCACACUGGGACUGAGACACGGCCCAGACUCCUACGGGAGGCAGCAGUGGGGAAUAUUGGACAAUGGGCGCAAGCCUGAUCCAGCCAUGCCGCGUGAGUGAUGAAGGCCCUAGGGUUGUAAAGCUCUUUCAACGGUGAAGAUAAUGACGGUAACCGUAGAAGAAGCCCCGGCUAACUUCGUGCCAGCAGCCGCGGUAAUACGAAGGGGGCUAGCGUUGUUCGGAAUUACUGGGCGUAAAGCGCACGUAGGCGGAUACUUAAGUCAGGGGUGAAAUCCCGGGGCUCAACCCCGGAACUGCCUUUGAUACUGGGUAUCUCGAGUCCGGAAGAGGUGAGUGGAAUUCCGAGUGUAGAGGUGAAAUUCGUAGA
rnacentral:rRNA from 1 species